rnacentral:rRNA from 1 species
CUACGGGAGGCAGCAGUGGGGAAUAUUGGACAAUGGGCGCAAGCCUGAUCCAGCCAUGCCGCGUGGAUGAAGAAGGCCCUAGGGUUGUAAAGUCCUUUCGACGGAGACGAUAAUGACGGUAUCCGUAGAAGAAGCCCCGGCUAAUUUCGUGCCAGCAGCCGCGGUAAUACGAAAGGGGCUAGCGUUGUUCGGAAUUACUGGGCGUAAAGCGCACGUAGGCGGUCGUGUAAGAUGGGGGUGAAAUCCCGGGGCUCAACUCCGGAACUGCCUUCAUGACUGCAUGGCUAGAGGAUGCGAGAGGUUGGCGGAAUUCCGAGUGUAGAGGUGAAAUUCGUAGAUAUUCGGAAGAACACCAGUGGCGAAGGCGGCCAACUGGCGCAUUUCUGACGCUGAGGUGCGAAAGCGUGGGGAGCAAACAGGAUUAGAAACCCCGGUAGUCC